rnacentral:rRNA from 1 species
ACGUCCAUACCAUGCUGAAUAUACCGGUUCUCGUUAGAUCACCGAAGUCAAGCAUCAUUGGGCGCGGUCAGUACUUGGAUGGGUGACACACCUGGGAGCACCGCGAGCCGUU